UACCUUGUUAGGUUGCGCACUACAGACUAA
rnacentral:piRNA from 1 species